AUACGGGGGGUGCGAGCGUUGUCUGGAAUCACUGGGCGUAAAGGGCGCGUAGGUGGUUUGAUAAGGGUGUGGUGAAAGCCCGGGGCUCAACCCCGGGUCUGCCGUGCCGACUGUCAAACUCGCGGGCUGUAGAGGCAGACGGAAGUCCGGGUGUAGCGGUGGAAUGCGUAGAGAUCCGGAGGAAGACCGGUGGCGAAGGCGGUCUUCUGGGCAGUUUCUGCCACUGGGGGGCGACAGCGUGGGGAGCAAACAGGGUUAGAUACCCUGGUAGUCCACGCCGUAAACGAUGGGUACUAGGUGCCUGGGGGAGCGACCCUCUGGGUGCCGGCGCUAACGCAGGAAGUACCCCGCCUGGGGAGUACGACCGCAAGGCUGAAACUUAAAGGAAUUGGCGGGG
rnacentral:rRNA from 1 species